UGCGUUCGUUCAUUCGUUGACGGUAUUUAACCUCAAAUCUAAUUCAAUGUAUCGCAAUGUACCUAAGUGGCGAACUAAAUAUGCAAUUUAUCUAAAGUUCCCAGAAGUCAUUAAUUCAACACGUAAUUACCUACACAUUGUGACAUAACCUAUGGAAGUAAGGUGGAUAUUUAUGUGAUGUACCUGUACAACUAUUCUCUAAAUCCGAUCCCGAUGUAUCAAUUAUGUCUGCAGAAAUUGUUACACAGCUGCCAAAUGGAAUACAAUAUUUUGUUUCGCAUACAUAAUCUAAUUUUUCAAAGACUUCGUUACGCUUCUCCGACCUGCAUCCAAGAAGUUUCUUCCUCUUUUAGAAACGAAGUUUAAGCAAUGAAAGCAUAGUUUUAUUGCAAAUUUAAGGGCAAGGGGUGUUUUUUAUUAGUUAACGUACAUAUUGUAGCCAUCUAUUUAAGUAAUUUGGUCAAUGCCUAGUAUGUAAGACCUGUUACGAAUUAUCAAUUCUUAAAUAAAUCAUGCAAAACGGUGGUUAAGUGCUA